AGAUUGAACGCUGGCGGCAUGCCUUACACAUGCAAGUCGAACGGUAACGCGGGCUUCGGCCUGGCGACGAGUGGCGAACGGGUGAGUAAUAUAUCGGAACGUGCCCUGGAGUGGGGGAUAGCUCGGCGAAAGCCGGAUUAAUACCGCAUACGAUCUAAGGAUGAAAGUGGGGGAUCGCAAGACCUCAUGCUCCUGGAGCGGGCCGAGUACCUAGGACUUAGCUUAAGUUGGUGGGUAAAAGCCUACCAAGGCUACGAUCAGUAGCUGGUCUGAGAGGACGACCAGCCACACUGGGACUGAGACACGGCCCAGACUCCUACGGGAGGCAGCAGUGGGGAAUAUUGGACAAUGGGGCAACCCUGAUCCAGCAAUGCCGCGUGAGUGAUGAAGGCCGUUAGGUGUAAAGCUCUUUACCGAGAUGAUAAUGACAGUAUCGGAGAAUAAGCUACCGGCUAACUCCGUAGCCAGCAGCCGCGGUAA
rnacentral:rRNA from 1 species